UACGUAGGGUGCGAGCGUUGCCCGGAAUUAUUGGGCGUAAAGGGCUCGUAGGCGGUUUGUCGCGUCGGGAGUGAAAUCCACUGGCUUAACUGGUGGCUUGCUUUCGAUACGGGCAGACUGGAGGUAUGCAGGGGAGAACGGAAUUCCUGGUGUAGCGGUGAAAUGCGCAGAUAUCAGGAGGAACACCGGUGGCGAAGGCGGUUCUCUGGGCAUGUCCUGACGCUGAGGAGCGAAAGUGUGGGGAGCGAACAGG
rnacentral:rRNA from 1 species